UACAGAGGUCUCAAGCGUUGUUCGGAUUCAUUGGGCGUAAAGGGUGCGUAGGCGGCGCGGUAAGUCGGAUGUGAAAUCUCGGAGCUUAACUUCGAAACUGCAUUCGAUACUGCCGUGCUUGAGGACUGGAGAGGAGACUGGAAUUUACGGUGUAGCGGUGAAAUGCGUAGAUAUCGUAAGGAAGACCAGUGGCGAAGGCGGCUCACUGGCCCGGUACUGACGCUGAGGCGCGAAAGCGUGGGGAGCAAACAGG
rnacentral:rRNA from 1 species